ensembl:snRNA U6 U6 spliceosomal RNA
GUACUCUCUUUGGCAGCAUGUAUACUGAAAUUGAAAUGGCACAGAGGAGAUUAGCAUGGCCCCUGUGCAAGGAUGACAUGCAAAUUUGUGAAGCAUUCCAUAUAAUA